rnacentral:rRNA from 1 species
CGAGAGUUUGAUCCUGGCUCAGAACGAACGCUGGCGGCGUGCCUAACACAUGCAAGUCGAGCGCGAAUGGAGCAAUCCUAGUAGAGCGGCGCACGGGUGCGUAACACGUGGGUAAUCUGCCUAGAAGACUGGAAUAACCUUGGGAAACCUUGGCUAAUACCAGAUAAGACCACGGGGACUUCGGUCCUUGAGGGAAAAGGUGGCCUCUGUAUACAAGCUAUCACUUCUAGAUGAGCCCGCGGCCCAUCAGCUAGUUGGCGGGGUAAUGGCCCACCAAGGCAACGACGGGUAGCUGGUCUGAGAGGACGAUCAGCCACACUGGAACUGAGACACGGUCCAGACUCCUACGGGAGGCAGCAGUGGGGAAUUUUGCACAAUGGGCGAAAGCCUGAUGCAGCAACGCCGCGUGUGUGAUGAAGGUCUUCGGAUCGUAAAGCACUUUCGACUGGGACGAACACCCCUUGGCUAACAUCCAAGGGCCUGACGGUACCAGGAGAAGAAGCACCGGCUAACUCUGUGCCAGCAGCCGCGGUAAUACAGAGGGUGCAAGCGUUGUUCGGAAUUAUUGGGCGUAAAGCGCGUGUAGGCGGCUUUGCAAGUCGGGUGUGAAAGCCCUCAGCUUAACUGAGGAAGUGCGCCCGAAACUGCUUGGCUUGAGUACCGGAGAGGAUGGCGGAAUUCCCCAAGUAGAGGUGAAAUUCGUAGAUAUGGGGAGGAACACCGGUGGCGAAGGCGGCCAUCUGGACGGAUACUGACGCUGAGACGCGAAAGCGUGGGUAGCAAACAGGAUUAGAUACCCUGGUAGUCCACGCCGUAAACGAUGAGAACUAGGUGUCGUGGGUGUUGACCCCCGCGGUGCCGCAGCUAACGCAUUAAGUUCUCCGCCUGGGAAGUACGGCCGCAAGGCUAAAACUCA